AAUAUUGGACAAUGGGGGCAGCCCUGAUCCAGCCAUGCCGCGUGUGUGAAGAAGGGCUUCGGAUUGUAAAGCACUUUAAGGUGGGAGGAAGGGCUUUAGGUUAAUACCCUGAGGUUUGGACGUUACCAACAUAAUAAGCACCGGCUAACUCGGUGCCAGCAGCCGCGGUAAUACAGAGGGUGCAAGCGUUAAUCGGAAUUACUGGGCGUAAAGCGCGCGUAGGUGGUGCAGUAAGAUGGGUGUGAAAACCCCGGGCUUAACCUGGGAACUGCUUUCAUAACUGCUGAGCUAGAGUACGGUAGAGGGUAGUGGAAUUUCCUGUGUAGCGGUGAAAUGCGUAGAUAUAGGAAGGAACACCAGUGGCGAAGGCGACUACCUGGACUGAUACUGACACUGAGGUGCGAAAGAGUGGGGAGAAAAC
rnacentral:rRNA from 1 species